UGGUUCAGUGGUAGAAUCUUUGUCUACCACACAGGAGAUCUGGGUUUGAUUCCCAG
rnacentral:tRNA from 1 species